UGGCGGACGGGUGAGUAAUGUCUGGGAAACUGCCUGAUGGAGGGGGAUAACUACUGGAAACGGUAGCUAAUACCGCAUAACGUCGCAAGACCAAAGAGGGGGACCUUCGGGCCUCUUGCCACCGGAUGUGCCCAGAUGGGAUUAGCUAGUAGGUGGGGUAACGGCUCACCUAGGCGACGAUCCCUAGCUGGUCUGAGAGGAUGACCAGCCACACUGGAACUGAGACACGGUCCAGACUCCUACGGGAGGCAGCAUUG
rnacentral:rRNA from 1 species